rnacentral:rRNA from 1 species
UACGGAUGGGGCUAGCGUUGUUCGGAAUUACUGGGCGUAAAGCGUGCGUAGACGGUUAUCUAAGUCAGAUGUGAAAGCCCCGGGCUCAACCUGGGAAUUGCAUUUGAGACUGAAUAGCUAGGGUGCGGUAGAGGGAAGCGGAAUUUCCGGUGUAGCGGUGAAAUGCGUAGAUAUCGGAAGGAACAUCAGUGGCGAAAGCGGCUUCCUGGACCAGCACCGACGUUCAGGCACGAAAGCGUGGGGAGCAAACAGG